GACGAACGCUGGCGGCGUGCCUAAUACAUGCAAGUAGAACGCUGAAGGAGGAGCUUGCUUCUCUGGAUGAGUUGCGAACGGGUGAGUAACGCGUAGGUAACCUGCCUGGUAGCGGGGGAUAACUAUUGGAAACGAUAGCUAAUACCGCAUAAGAGCAGAUGUUGCAUGACAUUUGCUUAAAAGGUGCAAUUGCAUCACUACCAGAUGGACCUGCGUUGUAUUAGCUAGUUGGUGGGGUAACGGCUCACCAAGGCGACGAUACAUAGCCGACCUGAGAGGGUGAUCGGCCACACUGGGACUGAGACACGGCCCAGACUCCUACGGGAGGCAGCAGUAGGGAAUCUUCGGCAAUGGACGGAAGUCUGACCGAGCAACGCCGCGUGAGUGAAGAAGGUUUUCGGAUCGUAAAGCUCUGUUGUAAGAGAAGAACGAGUGUGAGAGUGGAAAGUUCACACUGUGACGGUAUCUACCAGAA
rnacentral:rRNA from 1 species